AGGCGUAUAGCUCAGUUGGUAGAGCUACGGUCUCCAAAACCGUGGGUCGAGGGUUCAAGUCCUUCUGCGCCUG
rnacentral:tRNA from 1 species